rnacentral:rRNA from 1 species
UACAGAGGGUGCAAGCGUUAAUCGGAAUUACUGGGCGUAAAGCGUGCGUAGACGGUUAUGUAAGUCGGGUGUGAAAGCCCCCGGGCUCAACCUGGGAAUUGCAUUCGAGACUGCAUAGCUAGGGUGCGGAAGAGGGAAGCGGAAUUUCCGGUGUAGCGGUGAAAUGCGUAGAUAUCAGGAGGAACACCAGUGGCGAAGGCGGCUCUCUAGUACGGUACUGACGCUGAGACGCGAAAGCGUGGGGAGCAAACACGG